UGUACUUAUUUAAUCCCAUCUCAUUUAACACCAUCUAUAAAUAGCACAGACUACAUUCCACCUUUAGUUAUAAUCAACCACAUACACAGUUUUAACCGAACCCCACACUUAUUCACAUCUAUUCAAACUAUUCACUAAGAAGUAUAGUUGACUCAUAUAUAAUGCUUGAUGGAACCAGGGAUUGAUUUCUGGGAACUUAUAAUUUUACAUAGAAGGAUGUUGUUGUUACGCAUCUAGAAUUUCAAACAAUACAAUAUAAUUAUCUCCUUAGAAUACAGGCUGUUAUUAGGCUUUCAGUAAGUACUCUUACUAAACACAAG